UGAGGAUCUUCCCCUAGAGCCAACAGAGAAAGAAAGCUUUCCCUUGGAGAUGGUACCCUGAAUUUGGACUUACUAGCCUCCGAGGCUGUCAGAGAGUAAAUUUCUCUUUGUUAAGACCAUCCAACUCUGGUAUUUCUGUUAAAGUAGUACUAGAAAACUAAGACAGGAUUUGGUACCAGGAACGGGGUGCUGCUCUAACAGAUACCUAAAUUGUGGAAGCGGUCUUGAAACUGUGAAUGGGUAGAAGGUGGAAGAGUUUUAAGAUUGCCUGGAAUGGAAUGUUGCUGGAAUUAUGGACAUCAAAGACAAUUCUGGUAAGGAUUCAGACGGAAGUGAGGAAAGCUGUUACGCUCUCCUGUUACACAGAGGGCAAAGAGCAGCAGCACACAAACAGCAGCAGCAGAACCAGGAGACCAGUACGAGACAGAGCUAGGAGCUGACCCACAAAGCGAGAGAGCUGAGUGCCUUUGAGCAGGAGGCUUCUUGGUGGAAUGGGGUGUUUCCAGGCACUUAUCAGUGGAGCUAGGCUUGCCGACCCAUGGAGCAAGACAGCUGAGUGCCUUCUGGCCAAAGUUUACUAGCAGAGUGGGCUGUCUUCAGACACUUAUUGGUGGAGUUAAAGAGCUUUGGAACACUUCCCCAGCAGUGCAGAUGCGGUGGAGAGGCCCAAGGGGCCAAGAGGCCAAGAAACCAGGAAGCAGAAACUGAAGAGACAAGGAACACAGGAAGCAGAGCUGCCUCAGUCUCAAAGGGUAUGGCCACGACCCCUGGGGUCUCAAAGGUUGGAGCUGCCACUCAUACGGACUAGGAAAAUGGGGCUGCCCAAAGCCAAGGGAACAGAGGUGCCAUUCUAGUGGGCCUGGAAAGAAGAGCUGAAGCCCAGGGCUGAGAGGCCUCCACUCACAAUCUGGAAACUGUGGGCAAUACUUAGAGUCUGGAGGACAAGGCCAUUGUGUAAAUGGUUUCAGAGAACAGAGGAUUAUUUUCAAGCCUUUGGGGCUCAGGACCUCUGUAAUAACUGAUGAAGAGCCCUGGUGACACAGUGGUUAAGCACACAGCUGCUAACCAAAAGGUACCACAAAAUCAAGUUGUUUAAAAGCAGUGUUAAAGAGACAAUAUUAAGAGAAGACAGCGAAAAAAAGACAUACAGAGAAACAAAGGUAAGUAACACAUCAGAUUUCUCAUUGAAAACAAUGUAAGAGAAAAGCCAAUGAGCAACAGCAUUAAAGUACUGAAGACAAAAAACAAAACGCUUUCAGCCUAGAAUUCUAUACCCAGAGAAAGUAUCUUAAAAAAAAAAAAAAAGACAAAAUAAA